rnacentral:piRNA from 2 species
AGACCUUACAAAAAAAGAAUACCCAGUGC